ensembl:misc_RNA Metazoa_SRP Metazoan signal recognition particle RNA
GCUGGGUGUGGUGGCUCACACUUGUAAUCCCAGCACUUUGGGAGGCUGAGGCAGGAGGAUCACCUGAGGCCAGGAGUUCAAGACCAGCCUGGCCAACAUGGUGAAACCCCGUCUCUA